rnacentral:rRNA from 1 species
CAGUAACCGCGGUAAUACGUAGGGUGCAAGCGUUAAUCGGAAUUACUGGGCGUAAAGCGUGCGCAGGCGGUUAUGUAAGACAGUUGUGAAAUCCCCGGGCUCAACCUGGGAACUGCAUCUGUGACUGCAUAGCUAGAGUACGGUAGAGGGGGAUGGAAUUCCGCGUGUAGCAGUGAAAUGCGUAGAUAUGCGGAGGAACACCGAUGGCGAAGGCAAUCCCCUGGACCUGUACUGACGCUCAUGCACGAAAGCGUGGGGAGCAGACAGGAUUAGAUACUCGCGUAGUCCCUGUCUCUUAUAC